CCUACGGAGGGCAGCAGUAGGGAAUCUUCGGCAAUGGACGGAAGUCUGACCGAGCAACGCCGCGUGAGUGAAGAAGGUUUUCGGAUCGUAAAGCUCUGUUGUAAGAGAAGAACGAGUGUGAGAGUGGAAAGUUCACACUGUGACGGUAUCUUACCAGAAAGGGACGGCUAACUACGUGCCAGCAGCCGCGGUAAUACGUAGGUCCCGAGCGUUGUCCGGAUUUAUUGGGCGUAAAGCGAGCGCAGGCGGUUAGAUAAGUCUGAAGUUAAAGGCUGUGGCUUAACCAUAGUACGCUUUGGAAACUGUUUAACUUGAGUGCAAGAGGGGAGAGUGGAAUUCCAUGUGUAGCGGUGAAAUGCGUAGAUAUAUGGAGGAACACCGGUGGCGAAAGCGGCUCUCUGGCUUGUAACUGACGCUGAGGCUCGAAAGCGUGGGGAGCAAACAGGAUUAGAUACCCCAGUAGUC
rnacentral:rRNA from 1 species